AGUGAACGCUGGCGGUAGGCCUAACACAUGCAAGUCGAACGGCAGCACAGUAAGAGCUUGCUCUUACGGGUGGCGAGUGGCGGACGGGUGAGGAAUACAUCGGAAUCUGCUUUUUCGUGGGGGAUAACGUAGGGAAACUUACGCUAAUACCGCAUACGACCUACGGGUGAAAGCAGGGGAUCUUCGGACCUUGCGCGAUUGAAUGAGCCGAUGUCAGAUUAGCUAGUUGGCGGGGUAAAGGCCCACCAAGGCGACGAUCCGUAGCUGGUCUGAGAGGAUGAUCAGCCACACUGGAACUGAGACACGGUCCAGACUCCUACGGGAGGCAGCAGUGGGGAAUAUUGGACAAUGGGCGCAAGCCUGAUCCAGCCAUACCGCGUGGGUGAAGAAGGCCUUCGGGUUGUAAAGCCCUUUUGUUGGGAAAGAAAAGCAGCAGGUUAAUACCCCGCUGUUCUGACGGUACCCAAAGAAUAAGCACCGGCUAACUUCGUG
rnacentral:rRNA from 1 species